AUCUGGGGGAUAGCCCGCCGAAAGGCGGAUUAAUACCGCAUAAAACAACAGUAACGGCAUCGUUUAAUUGUUAAAGAUUUAUUGGAUUCGGAUGGGGUUGCGUGCCAUUAGCUAGUUGGGGAGGUAACGGCUCACCAAGGCGACGAUGGCUAGGGGAGCUGAGAGGCUGGUCCCCCACACGGGCACUGAGUUACGGGCCCGACUCCUACGGGAGGCAGCAGUAGGGAAUAUUGGGCAAUGGUCGAUAGAC
rnacentral:rRNA from 1 species